AUAACAAAAUAAUAGUGUUUUUACACCUUGUAUGUACGUAAACUUGUUGUUGGAUACUCCAUAAACCAAAUUAUGACCUUUACAAAUCUCGUAAUAUUUACUCUUUAAAAGAUAACUUUGUGACAGAGGUGGACGAAGUACACAACUUCCUUACUUGAGUGAAAGUACAGAUACUACUGGUCAAAUAUUACUCCACUACAAGUAAAAGUUGUAAAGACAGAUUCUUACUUUAGUAAAAGUACAGAAGUACGUGCUUUUAAAAGUACUCAAGUAUUAAAAGUAAAUUUCCUUUAUGUCAGUUGUGCAUUGUUUUAUUGUCGUAUACCUUAUGCCUCUGAAGCAACCUACUGAAUACACUGAGUAGCUCACAGUAUCAGUCGUAUUAAAGGAGUAGUUCGCUUCAAAAUUUGCCCCCAUUGACUUUCCAUAGUCGUUUUUAUUCCUACUAUGGAAAGUCAGUGGGGGCAAAUUUUGCAGUGAGCAACUCCUUUAAGAGCUUUAUAUGUUUAGCACAUAUAUGAUUAGUUUAGAUAUAAUCCAUUUAGCCUAAUUAUCAUUAGCCCCCUAGGCCUAUAUGUAUUUAUGAGCAGUGUUCUUUUAUUUUGUAUAUUCCUUUUACCAGUUUUAGCAGCAAUUUACCAGUAAGUAGUAAGGUUCUUGUAAAUAGUCAAGUGUAGAAGCCAUGUGUUUGUUGGAUUUAUUACCAUUUGUAUUACCAUAAUUUAACUACAAACAUAAACAAUAGCUAGUAUAAUGAAACUAUGGUAUGUUUAGUUGCUGUGGUUUUACUAAAGAUUAUUAAUUGGAGUAUGGUUCCUAUAUAUAGAAAAUGGUAAAUUUGUGGAUACUGUGGUUUUACUGCAAAUACCAUCCCUGCUGAAAAAAACAAUGAAUUUUUGAAUUAGAAUGAGAUUUUUAAAUUAAAUUCCUCUUUGUAGUGUGUUUGGGGUUUUAUUCCAAUAGGAUUUACCAUCCCACCAAUAGAAUCCAUCACAUACAAGUAGACAACAAGUAUCCAUAGUACAAUUCCCAUUAUAACCAUUAAAUCCAUUACAUUUUAUGGGUUCUAUUGUUUUUAUUUCAACAGGAAUACUUCAACUAUAGUUACUUCAGUAAAAACAUCAUUCAUUUUCCAAAUCGCUUUAAAUGAUACAGCAGCAGAUCAGAAGUUAACACGCACGCGCAGCUCAAGCAUCAUGUGAUGCUUAUUUACCGUUUAGCCGUUAUGCCGAUCAUUUUCAUGACAAUGUUUCUACGAUCUUUGACUGAUCGUAACCCACAGAUGAUUACACCACACUUUAACAUCUGCCUUUUUCCUCUUUUAUUGUUCUAUUUGUCUUUUUAGAGCGCUAUCAAUGUUGUAGCAGCACUGACGUUUACGUUAGUUUAGCGGGGAAGAUCCCAGAGUUGCCAGAUUUGCUUAAAAAAAUCUGCCAAAUGGCCAUUUAAAGCUUGUCGGAAAACCGUGAGUUUAGAAAAACUGAAAUACUUGGCAACAGUAAAAGGUCCUGGCAGAUCGCAAGCCAGAUAACUUGAGCACACAGGAAACCCCGCUGCAUAGAAACCAUUUUCUACUUUUGGACCUUUUUAUAAAUGUAGUGGAGUUAAAGUACAAGUACUCAGAAAAAAUAAUACUCAAGUAAAGUACAGAUACUCAAAAAGUGUACUUAAGUACAGUACUCUUUACAAUUUCAAUUUACUUCGUUACUGUCCACCUCUGCUUUGUGACAACGUGCUUAAAAGGUGCUGUGACAGAGUCAGUGACAUCAAUCGUGGGAUAUUCUCUCACUCUUCACACUAAUACUGUAAUACAGAGUAAUGAUGUGAUCGAGUGGAGAUAUAAAGAUGAACUCAUAGCUAAACUGGACAGAGGUUCAAUCUCAGUGUUUAACGGCUCUGAUGGGAGAUUUAGUGACGGACUGAAGAUAAACAAUCAGACUGGAGAUCUCACCAUCAUAGACUUCACAAUUCAACUCAUUGGAGAGUAUCGUCUACACAUCACUGGAGAGAAAACUACAACAAAGACAUUCAGCGUUAGUGGUCUUUUGGGUUUCAAAUAUUCAGUGACGUCAUUGUCAGUGAUGGAGGGAGAGUCUGUCAGUCUGAACACUGGUGUACCUGAAACUGAGGAAUACGAUGUGAUACGCUGGAGGUUUGGAAACUCUCCUCUAGCUGAAAUCAACAGAAAGACUGAAAUCAUCUCAACACAUUAUGAUGUUCAUGAUGAGAGAUUCAGAGACAGACUGAAGCUGGAUGAUUGGUCUGGAGAUCUCACCAUCACAAACAUCACAACUGAUCUUUCUGGACUUUAUGAAUUUAAUGUCGCCUGAGAUAGCGGAACACACACCAUACACCUGUCAUACACAGUUACUGUCAGUGAUGAAGUGAAGUCGGUGUCAGUGAUGGAGGGAGAUUCUGUCACAUUACACACUGAUCUUACUGACAUACAGAUAUAUGAUGUGAUCGAGUGGAGGUUUGGAUCACAAAAGUCUGUCAUUGCUACAAUCUCUGGAGGGGCCGUUGAUAUGAAUAGACAAGCUGGGAGAUUCAGAGACCGACUGAAGCUGGAUGAUCAGACCGGAUCUCUCACCAUCACAAACAUCAUAAUUGAAGAUUCUGAAGUUUAUGAAGUGAAGAUCAGACAGGUUCACUCCAGACGAUCCAUUCAAAAGAGAUUCCUUGUGACUGUCAGUGAUGCAGGUGUGUCUUUAGGAGGAUCAUGUGUUGGUGUUCUGCUGGUUUUUGUGUUGUCACAGAUGGUCUAAAUCAAGAACACAAGAGGAUAACAACAGAGGAAAACAUUCAGUCGACAUAAACUUGACUUUGAAAGGAGACGCUCAGCAUCAGUGAUGAUUCUCUAACUCCUGUUUCACACCAUUUACUCAUGUAAACUUUGUAAAGGCGAUGCGCAUCUGUAACUUUCUUUAACAAAGGACAAAAGAGAGAACAAUAAUAAUGUGGAUAAAACAACUUAAAAUACAACUACAUCAUGAGUGAAAAUAUAGCUGCAAGCAGCACUUACGGUUUCAAGAGGAAACCGUAGAAGAGCCAGAGCUCCCAGAGAGGAGCUUUCAAGGGAGAAGAAAGAGAGACAGAGUAUAACUUACAUUUCCUUUCCUUGACCAUGUGACUAAACCUAACAUGAUACGUUCAAAUUGACCAAUCAGGAGACCACCUUUAACCCACAAUAUACAAGCAUCUCGGGCAAUAGUGUCACGAUCAGCAACGCUGUGAUCUUUAGAACGGCAAAUACUACAUUUUGCAGGUUGUAAGACAGCAACAAAUGUCUGUUUCUUCCAACCCUACAAUGUCUAUAUGACACAUUACUGCAGACGUCUUAGAGACUUAUUGCAGAUGAUCAAACAAUAAAAAAAAUGUCUUGCAGAUAUCAAAUAGACAUCUUCCAGAGGGCAUCAUUGACUUUUGCAGCAUACCAGGCACACGAUUAGUUUACUUUUGACGUGUUGUCCAAUCAGAAGCCUGGAAUCGGACGUCAAACAAAGGAGAUAGCGGCACGCGUUCCAAUGUCAUACGCCAAAUCUCCGUCUACACGACAAGAUUGAAUCCGGAGUUUCUAAAAAUCUUCACCCUGGCAGGAGUUUUAAAAAAAGUUCGGUUUCAGUGACCUAGUACUGCGUCUGCAUGUGGACAAAUGGCCAAAUCAUAUUUUUUUUGCGCUUUUGAAAAUACCCGUGUUCGUGUGGACAGGGCCUAGAUUUGUCGACUUUGAUCGGCACUGCAGCCGCCUUAAUCACAUGUGCCAUUAAAGUGUACGAGAGCAAAACAAGACCAACCGCCUAGGUCAGGCGCUGCAGUUGCUCAAAAUUGGCUGCGAAAACCUUGAUGACGACACACUUUAUUCUCAUUGGCCAGAAUGCUCACAUGUAUAUAUGACAUGUGUUGCAAAAAAAAAAGAGUUGAAAAGGGAGCAGUCAAGUUGGACUCCUGAAAAAAAAGUCGGACACCUGCUGCUUGCCGUAGUGACGUUCGCGCUGUGUUUACUUUUCAAAGCACGAAUGAAGUGGAUUAGAUAGUGGAUUUGUCCAAUAAACAAACAUUUGAAUUAAAAAGUAGCAGCCAUAAACACUUCAAAUUGCAUGUUAUGUGCUGCUUAACACCAUGUGCCUAAAAAUCAUGGUAAACAUAAGCAUAUAUUAUUAAAUUAAAACUGAGUCAGUAUUCGAUUCAUUUUUAUUUAAUUAAACGACACAAAAUAACAUAUUAUUAUGAUAAUACGAACAGGUUGAAGUCGAACAAAAUUUAUAAUCUGUAUGUACUGCUUUAAGUCAGCCAAUAAAAUGUUAUUAUAAUAAUAAAAAAUAGUAUUUCAUUAUAAGAAAGCAUUACAGCUGUGUAAUUAUGUGUAAUGCUUCCCCCUCCAUUAUCGGCACACUAUAGCUGCCAUUACUGCUCCCAGAAUUAUUCACAACGUACAAAACAUUGCGAUUUGAUUGGACACUUGUCAAAAGUUUUUUUUCUGGAUGUGUGUUUUUUGUUAGUUUGCCCCAUCAUCAUAUCGUCAUCGUACAGUCGUACAUUCCUUUAGAAGGUUUAAAAUUGUUAUGUCUGGAUUAUUCUCAGCCCUGAUUAACAGGUACAAAUACUUAGUUCCCAAAUUAAAAUCUACAUGCUCUCAAGUUUUGCUACUGAUUUAUCUUCAUAUAUUUGAUGCACAUUUGAUUGUCAAAUACAGAAUGUUUAGAUGAAUUUCAAAUGUCACAUCGAUUUUCAAGUUCUAAUGCUAAAAUAAGGCUUUGCAUGCGUCCUCAAUGUCUGUCAGAACACUUGAAUAAAUCUCACUGUUUCUUAAAUAUUUCAUAUUUUUUAUGCUUUCAUGAGUUAACAUUGUGUGUUAGUUUUAAUUGUGGGAUUCUUACUGUUGUCACGAUUGGCCUCUGUUUCUCCCCGUGUUUCCCAAUUGGACUGCAUUUCCCAUGAUCCUUCACGCUCCCGCACCUGUCUCACAUUUGUUAUCCCCACACCUGCCAGUUGUCAACCUCAUCACUCAUGGACUAUAUGUAUUCAUUGUGUUCCUUGUCUGGUAUUGUUUAUGUGGAGCGUGGUUUCCUUGUCUGUUCUCACCGCGAACUUAUUAAAUAUACCCCUUGUUUUGAACUCCUUGGUCGUGCGUGUCUCCUUCCCGAGCCUACGCGUGACAACUGUAUUGUGAUACUGUAUUAUUUAUCUAUUUAUUUUGUGACGAUACUGACAGUGUUGUAUAAAUAAGUUUAAUAUCGAUCUUUUUCAGUUUGUUCUGCAGGUGCUGUGCCAGAGUCAGUGAAAGUGAAUUUGGGAUUUUCUGUCACUCUUCACACUAAUACUGUAAUACAGAGUAAUGAUGUGAUCGAGUGGAGACAUGGAGAUGA